rnacentral:lncRNA from 1 species
AUCCACUCGGAUACUCGGUAUAACAUUUAAAGAGCCAGAAUGUUCAGGUUCACUCUUCUGCUCUGCUCAUCAGUGCUGCUGUAUAGCUGCUCAGCAAGUCCAUUUAAAUCAUGGAGAAAAGAUGCUGACCCAGCACUUCAGGAAACAAAGAUGUCUGAUGAAUUUGAUGAAAAGAUGACUCUGGGACUGAAGGAAGUCGAACCCCUAGAGCUGGAUCUGACCAAUUCUGAUAUUGACCCCAACAUGUUAAUAUGGAAAGCCAUCAAGCAGCUCAACCGUCAGAAAUACGAGAAGCCAGAGGAGGACAAAGACCAGCUCUAUCAUCCAUUUGAAGAACCCAGCAACAAGCAGCCUGACAGCUACUUCCAGCCCCAGCAGUUUGGUCAGGUCCAGCUGUAUCAAGAACCUGAGCAGGAUAUGGACAACCUCUAUCAUUCCAACUCUGAGAAGCAAGAUGCUUAUGAGAAAUCAGUGCAAACAGGUGCUGAACACAGAGCUGAAGAGUUUGUGUACUUGACCCCAGAAGAGGACAAAGAUGGCCUUUACCAUGAAAGCUUUCCAUCAGAGUCUAUAGUGGUGGCUCCAGUGAUGCAAGCUUUUGACAACGAGCCCAAGAGGGUUUACACCGAACCCGAAGAAGACCUGGAUAACCUAUAUCACAGUUAAAUAACAACAGUGCAGGAUGUAUUCAAGUAAAUUAAGUAAGACAAAGAUUUUAUGAAAUA